rnacentral:rRNA from 1 species
GAUGAACGCUGGCGGCGUGCCUAAUACAUGCAAGUCGAGCGAACAGACGAGGGGCUUGCUCCUCUGACGUUAGCGGCGGACGGGUGAGUAACACGUGGAUAACCUACCUAUAAGACUGGGAUAACUUCGGGAAACCGGAGCUAAUACCGGAUAAUAUAUUGAACCGCAUGGUUCAAUAGUGAAAGACGGUUUUGCUGUCACUUAUAGAUGGAUCCGCGCCGCAUUAGCUAGUUGGUAAGGUAACGGCUUACCAAGGCAACGAUGCGUAGCCGACCUGAGAGGGGGAUCGGCCACACCGGAACUGAGACACGGUCCAGACUCCUACGGGAGGCAGCAGUAGGGAAUCUUCCGCAAUGGGCGAAAGCCUGACGGAGCAACGCCGCGUGAGUGAUGAAGGUCUUCGGAUCGUAAAACUCUGUUAUUAGGGAAGAACAAAUGUGUAAGUAACUAUGCACGUCUUGACGGUACCUAAUCAGAAAGCCACGGCUAACUACGUG